CAAGGCCCCAGGAACUAGCUCUACCCAGAGAGCAGGGGAUGUCAGCACAGGCAAACAGGCUCUGGCAGCACAGCCACCAAGUUACACGGUGCUGCCUCCAUCCUGUUGGGUGGUGUCCUGUGGGUUCCCUGUGCUGCUCAUGUGCCUCGUUUCUUCUCACUUUUAUACUUGAAGCCAGAUGACAGCUGAGGAUUUUUUUCUAAGUUUUCCAGUUAUGGGCUUGGCCCCCUCUGUCUAGAUGUUUGGCUGUCUGCUCCUAUUCCACAGCUGGCUAAUUCUGUAGCUAUCUUAUAGGAGCUGUGCAGGGGAAGAUCCAGGGAGGUGCAGUCACAUCCAGCUUUGAUUCCUGAUUCACCCAAAGUUUAAAAUCAACUGCCUGGCAAUGGCAGCAGAAUUUGUAAUCAAGCAGCAGUGAGGAAGUCAGCUGAUCAUGAUUCAUUAUAAUCUACUUGAUUCCCUCUAAGCUUCUCAUUCCACAGGUGGUUAAUGACCCCUCUCUCCUUUUUUAAUGGCCUUGAUGUUUCACUAUUCAAGCUCUCCUUUCUUCUGCAUUGCUGCUGUUAGCUGCUUCUGGUAAUGUAACUCCUAUUUCACACUUUAGACUGUUUUUCACUCUAGCUAAAAUGUUAAUUCAGGUGUAGAAAUAGCUUUCAUGAAAGUUAGAUUUUAUUUUAUGAAUCUGCAAAAGAGAUGUACAUUUAAUUCUAAUACCUACAGUACUAAUAAAACAUAUUUUGAUUACA